rnacentral:lncRNA from 1 species
GGCUUGCCAAACUAGAUUUUUUUUUAAAAUUCAAAUACUUGGUGCACAAAAUUACUCUUUUUUUCUCAAUGAAAUAAGAAGCAAAAGCCAUAGCAAGCAAAACCUCUAAAACCAAAAAAACAACUACAAAACAGUCCACACAACCAUCACACAGAUCCCUUAUUCAAACCGACAUAAACAGUCGUCUCAUCAAGAAACAACCAGUCGGUUUCUUCCUUGCCAACACCCCCGAUAAAGUAACAAACAGAACUAAACGCUAACACAUACUCGAAUUGUAUCUUGAAAAGGAACCAACAAUGUCCUCCCAAAAGACCGACACGCUCAGUACCUGUAGUGAGCAGGCUUGUAUGGACCCUCAACUGGUACGCUGAUGUAGUCAGCCUGGUCCUUGGUCAACUUGGUCAACUUAGCUCCAAGCUUUCCAAGAUGAAGAGCGGCAACCUUCUCGUCAAGAUGCUUUGGCAACACGUACACCUCCUUCUUGUACUUCCCGGUGCUCUUCUCGUUCCACAGUUCGAGUUGAGCGAUCACUUGGUUGGUGAAUGAGCACGACAUCACGAAACUGGGGUGACCAGUGGCACAGCCCAAGUUCAUGAGACGACCCUCAGCCAAAACAAUGAUGCCGGUCUUGGUUUCGGGGAAGACCCACCUGUCGGUUUGGGGUUUGAUGGUGAUUCUUUGAACACCGGGGUAGGUUUCAAGUCCAAGCAUGUCGAUUUCGUUGUCGAAGUGACCGAUGUUGCAGACGAUGGCGUUGUUCUUCAUCUUCUUCAUGUCAGAAACCAUGAUGAUGGAGAGAGUGACGGCAUCCGUACAAGUUGUCAAACUGUAA